AUUGAACGCUGGCGGCAGGCCUAACACAUGCAAGUCGAACGAGUGGCGGACGGGUGAGUAAUGUCUGGGAAACUGCCUGAUGGAGGGGGAUAACUACUGGAAACGGUAGCUAAUACCGCAUACCAUCGGAUGUGCCCAGAUGGGAUUAGCUUGUAGGUUAGGUAACGGCUCACCUAGGCGACGAUCCCUAGCUGGUCUGAGAGGAUGACCAGCCACACUGGAACUGAGACACGGUCCAGACUCCUACGGGAGGCAGCAGUGGGGAAUAUUGGACAAUGGGCGAAAGCCUGAUGGAGCCAUGCCGCGUGUAUGAAGAAGGCCUUCGGGUUGUAAAGUACUUUCAGCGGGGAGGCGUUACCCGCAGAAGAAGCAACGGCUAACUCCGUGCCAGCAGCCGCGGUAAUUC
rnacentral:rRNA from 1 species